CUACCCUUUUAUUACAGAGUCUCUGACACUAAUUUUGCUGCUUUGAGCACUGAGGAGGGUAGAAUACUAUAUAUUUCCUUUCUACUUAUCAAAUGCAGCAUAAACUCUUGCCUGCAAAACAACAUCUUGGGGAGGGGGGAUCAGGGAACAAUCCAAACCAAAACACAAUGAUCAGCUCAACUUACGUAUUUUAUCAUCAUCGACUAUUUAAAAGUACGAGUGCCAAACCAGACAUUCUAUAACGUUUGGGUGAUAGAAGCAAGUGACAAAAGAUCUGCUAACAUGGUAAGGAGCUUCUUGUGUGUGCCUGAUGUAUGACUCGAAAUAUUUGUUUAGAAUUGUAUCAGAAUAAUGAAAGAUAAGUGUGUAUAUUGUUUCUCUUGCAGAAAGUUAUAACUGCAGUAACCUGUGCUUUUACCAUCAUGAUGGUCUUAUCUGCAGUUGAAUCAACUCGUACUCCAAAGAGUAAGUUCAUAGCAAGGAACUGGGGCCCUCAAUCAAUGCUAUACCUCAAAGGACGAUAUGGCCGAAGAUACGCUUCUUCUGAUAAAGAGGAACAAAGUUACAAGAUUGACUUGGAUGAUCCAAAUGCAGUUCUGAAAAGUUAUAGAAACUCAGCACCACUGAAAUUCUUGAACUCCAUAAGAAGAUUAACAGCUAAAAAUAUGGACAUUGAACAUGUGGACUAACAAUUUAUAUGAUUUGCUCUUCAAAUUUUUCAAAUGCUAUAUAUAAUUUUAAAAGUAUUUCAUUGUUGCCUUUUUCCAUUUGUGCUCCUGUGAAAUGCUUUAUGCAAUAUUGAUUAUAACAAAUCAGUCUAUUUAAUCAGAAAAACUGCUUUACCCUAAUAAAUGUGAACAUGAAAAAUGAGAACGUCA
rnacentral:lncRNA from 1 species